rnacentral:rRNA from 1 species
UACGUAGGGGGCUAGCGUUGUCCGGAAUCAUUGGGCGUAAAGCGCGUGUAGGCGGUUCGGUAAGUCCGCUGUGAAAGUCGGGGGCUCAACCCUCGAAUGCCGGUGGAUACUGUCGGGCUAGAGUGCGGAAGAGGCGAGUGGAAUUCCUGGUGUAGCGGUGAAAUGCGCAGAUAUCAGGAGGAACACCGAUGGCGAAGGCAGCUCGCUGGGACGGUACUGACGCUGGAGGCGCGAAAGCCGUGGGGAGCGAACAGG